rnacentral:rRNA from 1 species
GACGAACCGUGCGAACGUUGUUCGGAAUCACUGGGCUUAAAGGGCGCGUAGGCGGGUUACCAAGUCAGGGGUGAAAGCCCACAGCUCAACUGUGGAAGUGCCUUUGAUACUGGUAGUCUGGAGGGAGGUAGGGGCGUGCGGAACUUCCGGUGGAGCGGUGAAAUGCGUAGAUAUCGGAAGGAACACCGGUGGCGAAAGCGGCACGCUGGACCUCUACUGACGCUGAUGCGCGAAAGCUAGGGGAGCAAACGGG